ACGAAAUGGAAAGUGUGAAGUGGCACGGAGUACAUCGAUUCCACGAGGAAGGAGUGAUUGGCUACGCGAGAAUAAGCUGCUGCGAGGGCUUCGUCUCCAAUAUCUGUAGCAAUGGUGGUGCCUUUGUCCCCAAAACUAUUGCAUAGCUUUCCUAGUCUGUAAAGCCAUUUUUGGAGAGCCUUGGCUGCAAUCUUGUUGUUUCCAGGGAGCAGGUUCUGUUGGAAAUCUCAGUUUCCUGACAAAAUUGGCAUCGGAUUGUCUUGAUGAUGGAGAUGCAUGAUUGGUUUGCAAAAUGCGAGCAUAUGAUUGCAGUGUUGGAGUCGAAUUUUCGUGCAAGGAGAUGGCAUCGGGGAAUUCCUCCAAGCCCAUCAGCUUUGCUACAAUGCUGGAUGAUCGAUGGUGACUCCCAGAUUCUUCAUUGAUUGGAAGAACAUCAC